rnacentral:rRNA from 1 species
CAGCCGCCGCGGUAAUACGGGGGGGGCAAGCGUUGUUCGGAAUUAUUGGGCGUAAAGGGCGCGUAGGCGGUUUGGCAAGUUUCGUGUGAAAUCUUCGGGCUCAACUCGAAGUCUGCACGGAAAACUGCCGGGCUUGAGUAUGGGAGAGGUGAGUGGAAUUUCCGGUGUAGCGGUGAAAUGCGUAGAUAUCGGAAGGAACACCUGUGGCGAAAGCGGCUCACUGGACCAUUACUGACGCUGAGGCGCGAAAGCUAGGGGAGCAAACAGGAUUAGAUACCCCUGUAGUCCCUGUCUCUUAUAC